rnacentral:lncRNA from 1 species
GGGUUAGUUUUGGGCCUCAAGGCCCAAUGGGCUUCGAACGUGAAGCCCAUUGACUUAAGUUGUAUGACAACUUAAUGACUAAUAAUUCACAAAGGCCCAAAUAGCCUAAUAAAACCUUAUGGCCGGCCAUAUUGAUAAAGGAGUGGGUUUUGGACUUAUUACAAGUUUGUCACUCCAAUGAAGGUAGGUAUAAAUAUGACUUUAUAGCCUUUUCUUCAUUAGGGUUUUCUUUUGGAGAAAAGAUGAGAACACAAUGUCUCUCCCUUUCUCUCUAGGAGGCCGGCCCCCUUGGAGGAGAUUAGCUAGCAAUCUUCCCUCCUCCAAGGUCACUCAUCUCUUCUUCGAGUUUCUCCUUGGUGUGGAAAAAUUAGAGGUUCUCAACUUUGGGAACUUGGAGAAUCCUUCCAACCAUCCUUAUCCAAGAAAUCCAUGGAGCUAAGAAGCAAGGAAUGAAGGCCCUCUCCUUGGGUGAUUAGCCUUUGCUUAUGCAAAGAGGAAUCAACAAAGGUAUAAGAUUUAUCAACUCACUUUGUUCUUGAGUUGAGUCUUGGUUCACCCUUCUACUUGGCUUUGAAUUUCAUGAGUAAUGUUUUGUUUUUUAGUGCAUACAAGCAUGAUUCCGCCUUAAUUGUUAAUUGCAUGCCAUAGAUGUUGCUCAAAUGAACAUGCCUUUCACAAAAUUUCCUUCAAGUGGUAUCAGAGCCUAGGUGUAGUAGUUGGUGAAUCCUUUUGGAUUUUGUAUUUUCAUAGUUUAUGAUUUGAAUGUUGUAAUUGUUACAAGCUUUAUUCUUGCUUCUUUGAAUGUAAAUUUUGUUAGAAAAUUUUCCAUCUCAAAUGUUGUAGAUGUAGUUCAUAUGAGCAUGAAUUUUGGAGCUAAAAUUUGGUGCCAUGUUUUUGGGGAAAUUCGGCCAAAUCCAAAUGGUGGAUUUUUGGGUUCAUGUUUGUCUUGUUAAAAGAGUUUUAAAGUGACUUUUGGAACCCCUAAGUGCCCUAGGAUGUUAACCCUCUUUUGUAUAGUGAAAAUUUGAGUUUUAUUGAGUGAAAACAUUCAUGGAGCUCUUAUGAGUUUUCAUGUGUGUUCUUCAGAGUUUUUGAAGUUCUUACCAAGAACAAAAAAGUUUGGUGUUUUGAUUCAAAGUGUUUGAUGUUAUGCAUAAAGUUUUGUUUAUGGUGGUUGGUGUGACUUUAUUAUAAUAAAUGGUAUGGCAUUUCAAUCAACACCCAUACCAAUCAACGUUUCCACCCAUCCCUUUCACCUUUUUCCACUCUUUAAAAUUUUGAAUUUUCACCAAACCUACUUCCCCCUUUUUCACUACCCAAACCGGCCACCCUAUAAAGUAGGGUACUUUUGGGGCUUUUAUGCAAUUACAUAAAGUUUUGAUACUUUUGUGUAUUUGUACUUUGACCCAAAAGUUUACGUUUUUACGUAAAGGCCCAAAAUCAGUAAAGGACAAAAUGUUUUGCUCCUUUAAUGAAGUUUUUGUAUUUUGAUGAAAUUUUUGGGUUCUAGUUGUAAUUACAUGAAGUAGUGGACUUUUGCGUUUUUACAAAGUGACCUCAAAAGUUUGUGUUUUGCAAUAUAGCCCAAUAGUUGAGGUUAUUGUUUUUCGGCCCAAAUUAGUUGAGAACAAAAUUGUUUUGUAUCUUUAAAUGAGAAUUGGAUUUUCAUUUCAUUUAGCUCCAUUUAAAUCAAUUCUAUGGAUACAAAAACCAAAUGAAAAUGUUGCAUUCAAGUUUAAUUAGUUUAAGCGUUAAUUAAUUAAAGAAAGGGUGAUUAUGAACCUAAGCCUACGAUAAUUGAGCUAUGUGAAAGGCCGUAGAUUAGAUUUUGGUUGUAAUUUGAUAUGAUCAAAUAUUGUAAAAGAGCAUAAGCUCUUCUUUACUUUAAAGUAAUUUGUUUUUUGAUCAAAUGUUCUAAAAGAGCAUAAGCUCUUCUUUACUUUGAAGUACUUCUUUCUUGCUUUAUUUGAUAUGCAUGAAAAUGAAGUAGAGGGUCCAACGCCUAAUAAGAAAACACGCCUUAAUGUGAUUAAACACGUAACUAAAAUCAAUCACCAUCCCUAGACCGAGAUUCAACACUAGGCUCGUGUUGGAUCGAAUCAAAGGUUCA